ensembl:lncRNA
GGGAGGGGGAACUGUGAGGCGUCCGCCAUCUUGUCUCCCUCUCCUUACCUGCGUCCUCGGGGGCGUGCGCACCACCCCCCCUCCCGCCGAGGAGGGGGGAGGGCCCCCUCUUGGCCGCCGCCUUCGCGGCCUUUAAAUUCCCCUGGGGCCCGCGGCUACUACCACCGCCUUGCUUCCACUGCUUCCUCUCGCGGCACAGUGAUGCGGGCGGGCGGUGGGAAAAGUGGAAGACGCUACUCGCAGCGAACCGCCGCCGCCGCUUCCGAGGCCUCACCAAAAUGGCCGCCGCCGUCUCGGCCGCCACCACCAACACCACCGCCACCACCACAGCUCACUAUCGCUACCGCCGGCGCGGCCCGUCCUCUCGCGAGAAACAGUAACUGGAGGUUGGGGGAGCGAGGAAGCUCGCGUGCUAGCGUAGGGCGCUGCCCGAAGCGCAAGGCCGGCUGGGAGAUGUAGUCCGCGCGGAGAAAGCGCUUGCCCGCGACGAAGCGUUUUUAUCCACUACGGAACCUGCUGCUGGAGCUGCAUUGCGGCUGCCAACUCGGAUGAGUCCGCCUCACUUUAAUAGAUCACCCGGAGUGCAAAGCAAUUUCUCAGAUGCGGGAACUAAGGUUCAGAGAGGUAAAGUCAAGGUCACUCAACUCAAGGUUCCUGCCUCCUCUGGAUUUGAUGGGUCCUAAAGAAAAGAAUGUUAAUCAUCCAGAGAAAAAUACCUUUGUCCUUUCUAUUCACUGCCGUUUUGCUGUACCACGGCAUUGUUUUCAACUUUUAGAAGUGGAUAGUAUAGAGAAGGCAAUGGGACCCCACUCCAGUACUCUUGCCUGGAAAAUACCAUGGAUGGAGGAGCCUGGUGGGCAGCCGUCCAUGGGGUCGCACAGAGUUGGACACGACUGAAGCGACUUAGCAGCAGCAGCAGCAGUAUUUACACACACUUGAAACCAAAAUCCAAAGAUACUAAAGGAUAAGAAGUAAGUCUGCUAAACUGCCACCCCCUCUCCCCACUCCUCACCACAAAACAAAAAACACAGUGAUGAAAAAGCAUGAAAGAGACUCAAGAGCCAAAGGAGAACUGGAGUGUAAUAAUUAUAGUAGUACUGAAAUUUAACCUAAAAUAUUAAAUAUCCAU